CUUUUCAGUCGGGCGCUGAGUGGUUUUUCGGAUCAUGUCUGGUGGCUCCGCGGAUUAUAACAGCAGAGAACAUGGCGGCCCAGAGGGAAUGGACCCCGAUGGUGUCAUCGAGAGCAACUGGAAUGAGAUUGUUGAUAACUUUGAUGAUAUGAAUUUAAAGGAGUCUCUCCUUCGUGGCAUCUAUGCUUACGGUUUUGAGAAGCCUUCCGCUAUUCAGCAGAGAGCUAUUAUUCCCUGUAUUAAAGGGUAUGAUGUGAUUGCUCAAGCUCAGUCAGGUACUGGCAAGACAGCCACAUUUGCUAUUUCCAUCCUGCAACAGUUGGAGAUUGAGUUCAAGGAGACCCAAGCACUAGUAUUGGCCCCCACCAGAGAACUGGCUCAACAGGUAUUGAUAGUGUAGUUCAAAAAAACUGCUUGCGUGUUGCAUAGGUUUCAGGUUUCACAACUGUGAAGAAUUUAAAACUUAGUAUAAAUUGGUCCUACCAGAUCCCUCCUUUUAAUUGUCCAUGCAUGCAGGGAGUUUUUGUUGAAAGUUUUAAAAGAACUGGGUAUGCAGGUAUGGUUUUUAGGGUUGUAUACUAAUAGAUUGAGAAUCCGAAGCGCUCUCUUGGAUGUACUAGAUCUGUCCCCAUUUUUUAAGUUUGAAUGCAGUUGUGCAACAUGAAAACUGCAGUGACAUGUUACCAUUUGACUGUCUCCGUAGUUUGUGAUGCAUCUGUUGCAUGCUAUGUUUUCAAAGCUCACUGCUAUAUUGGCUUUGAAGUAAACCUUCCUAAUAAAGCUGUAGGCUUUAUUGAGGUCAGGAUUAUAUAAGGCACAAUACCCUCUGGGGGAAAAAAUCAUUUGCCCUAGCUGUAAUUACAGAACAUAAAUUUCACUAGGUACUCCCUACCUACAGUGAAGAAUAAUGUAGGAAACGUUAUUCUUGAAUUGUCUAGCUGAUGGGUGGAGCAGCAGCAUCCCAAGUUUGACAAGGCAUAAGAAAGACAUUAAGAGAAUUUUACCUUGCAGCAGUUAGGUCGUCUGCAUUUUAAGCUUGGAAGUAGUUUUGUG
rnacentral:sRNA from 1 species